ACGUACUGUGCGAACGUUAUUCGGAAUCACUGGGCUUAAAGGGUGCGUAGGCGGCGAUACAAGUCAGGUGUGAAAUGCCGGAGCUCAACUGCGGCAUUGCGCUUGAAACUGUGUUGCUUGAGUAUUUCAGGGGUGUGGGGAACUGCCAGUGGAGCGGUGAAAUGUGUUGAUAUUGGCAGGAACACCGGAGGCGAAAGCGCCACACUGGGGAAUAACUGACGCUGAGGCACGAAAGCUAGGGGAGCGAACGGG
rnacentral:rRNA from 1 species